CAAAGUCGUUGAAGAAAACCAUAGGGAAGAAGAAGGAAAGCGGUGACAGCCUGGGCAGGAUUUUGAAGAAGGUCACACAGUGUAGAAGAAAGAGAAAGGAUUUGGAAAUGGGCAAAGUCUAUUCAGUUCUGACUAUGCAGCUUCCUCAAGAUGUCCUGGGUAGGAAAAGAGAUGCGGCUUUGUUUCAUCGUGCUCUCUUUGCUUUUCAUGGGAAAUUAAUUCUCUCCACUGUGUGCAGUCUCAGUUUGGUCGGAAGCCCAGGUAUUUGCUCUGCCAUUAUGGACCGUAAAGUGAUUCCUGGAGGCUCCUUUCAUCGGAUCCUUUUUCUUAUCACUCAAGAACCACCAAGAGGUAGGCACAUGGUACUAUCAGAGUCUCAUGCAACUUUAAAUCUUGGGUGGAAUUAUGCAAAGUUGGAGGAAAUUAUUGGAGCUCCUGAAUGUCAAUGGUACAAUUUGGGCAAGAUUGACAGCAAGACCUUCUGGAGUCCCCUGGUUUUGUGUAGUUCAAGACUCGAUUGUCAUCUCUUCCUUCCAAUUUGUGGUCCCCCUAGCUUGGGAGGAAGCAUCAUGAAGUGGAAGAACCCUGAGCAGAGAGUCAUGGGACCUGAGCUCUAGUUGUGGCUUUGCAGCUAACUUGCUUUGAGACCCAGGAGAGAUCCUCAAACCUCUUUGGACUUUAAUUUCCUCAUCUAUGAAGACAAUAGGCCAGAUAACCUUGAAGGUUCAGUUUUUAAAACUAUAAUUUCAUGGCUCGGUUGUUACUUACUGGUUAGGGACCACUAUCAGAAAAUAAUGAUGCUUUAAUUAAAGUAAGAACUUUUGUAGAAGUUUCCCUUGAUGUUUCAACACAUGAGGUGCUGUGACUAUGCCAGAUAUGUCAAUCCGUG
rnacentral:lncRNA from 1 species